UUUAUCUGUGCUGACAAAUACAGAACAACUAGUUUUGGUAGUUUGAAUUAGUUUGUCUAAUUUCUUUAGUUUUGCUUUCCCUUUCUUGUUUUGGAUUUGUUUUCUAAGUAGAAACUUGACUGGUUAUAUGGGCUGGAUCUGUGGGUGUGAUUUCAGAUUUUGAUUUUUCUGUUUUAUGCUGUCAUGCUUGGGAAGAUUCAGUUGUUUUGAUGGACAUUGCUCAUGUUGGUUGGAUUGUUUAUCACAAGGGUGAGGUACAGGGCAGGCAUAACAGGCUAUGGAUU
rnacentral:lncRNA from 1 species